rnacentral:rRNA from 1 species
UGCAGUCGAACGAGAACGGAUUAUAGCUUGCUAUAAUUGUCAGCUAAGUGGCGCACGGGUGAGUAAUGUAUAGAUAACCUGCCCUUAAGAAAGGAAUAACAGUUGGAAACGACUGCUAAUGCCCUAUAUGCCUUUAAUACAUAAGUAUGCAAGGGAAACGCUUUAGUGCUUAAGGAUGGGUCUGUAUGGUAUCAGCUUGUUGGUGAGGUAAUGGCUCACCAAGGCUAUGACGCCUAACUGGUUUGAGAGGAUGAUCAGUCACACUGGAACUGAGACACGGUCCAGACUCCUACGGGAGGCAGCAGUGGGGAAUAUUGCACAAUGGACGAAAGUCUGAUGCAGCAACGCCGCGUGGAGGAUGACACAUUUCGGUGCGUAAACUCCUUUUAUAUAGGAAGAUAAUGACGGUACUAUAUGAAUAAGCACCGGCUAACUCCGUGCCAGCA